UACGGGGGGGGCAAGCGUUGUUCGGAAUUACUGGGCGUAAAGGGCUCGUAGGUGGCCAACUAAGUCAGACGUGAAAUCCCUCGGCUUAACCGGGGAACUGCGUCUGAUACUGGAUGGCUUGAGUUUGGGAGAGGGAUGCGGAAUUCCAGGUGUAGCGGUGAAAUGCGUAGAUAUCAGGAGGAACACCGGUGGCGAAGGCGGAUCUCUGGGCCUUACCUGACGCUCAGGCGCGAAAGCUAGGGGAGCGAACAGG
rnacentral:rRNA from 1 species